AAAGUUUGGUAAGGACUUUUAUUUUAGGACGGCAGCAUCAGGUUUGAUUUUUUUUUACUUUUUUCUGAGCAGCUUUCAGGGCAGCAGCUUCAGCUUUCUCGGCAUCCGCUUUCCUUUUCUUCUC
rnacentral:SRP_RNA from 1 species